GUCCUGAUUAUGGUAUAGUGGUUUGAGCAUUUGACUAGGACUCUGGAGAUCAGGGUUCGAUUCCCAGCUGGGCCA